rnacentral:lncRNA from 1 species
CCAUGCUGGGACACUGGAAUUGUUGUUCUUUUGUGAUCGUGAGCCUGGGUCUUCCAUUACAAUUGCACUGCCACGAGUGCCAAGACUGUGCCUGGAAAGUGGCUCAGCUGACUCUUGAACAGUAGCUGCUGCUUUUUCCUGAGGAGUUGAAAACCAGGCUGCCUCCGCAGCAGGCUCACCGCCGGGUCCAGGCAGUGCCGCGCUCGGACAGAGCCUCAAAACACGGUUUGCAAAUGAGAGAGACAGGAAAAACAGGAGCCAGUAGCAGCUGUACAAAUUUGAAUCCGCCCCAAAGACCACUUAGAUCUCCGGUUUCAGAGAAUGGUGAGCAGUUGUCCAUCAGAUUCCUCACUGUGCCACCAUGCCAAAGUAAGCGGACUCCCAAAUGCUUAUUGUGUCACAUCAGAUAACUAUGAUAGCACUGCUGGGCAUCUUCUCGCAUUGAGCAGCCUUUUACAGCAUGAAGGUUUAUGGCAGGUGAGAACUCCACAUUUUACAGAGGGAACAGAGAGAAAAACCACGCUUUUUGCCAGAGCUACUCCCACGUAUUGGCAGGGAGCCACCAACCAGAUUAACCCAUACCCACUCAAAGACCGAGACGUGCUAAAGAAACGAUCAUUGCUUGAGACAACUGCUUUUAUUUUUUAACUAAAAUUGCCUUGGACCUCUAUCAGCUCUGGCUUCAGCAUCACCUGCCCGUGAUCACUUCUCCCUUGGCCAGGGUCCAAGGGCAGCUCAGUCCCAUCCAGUUCAGAGCUUGAGAAAGUAAAAAAAAAAAAACCUAGGUUACCAAGAAAGCCAAGAAAACACACACAAAAAAAAGGCAAAAGCCUUGAAAAAAUAAAUAAAAAAAAAAAUAAAAGCA